rnacentral:rRNA from 1 species
AGAGUUUGAUCAUGGCUCAGGAUUAACGCUGGCGGUAUGCCUAACACAUGCAAGUCGAACGGAAUACUAAUUAAGAGAAUCUCACACUAGUGAGAGGUUCUCACGAGUAGUAUUUAGUGGCGGACGGGUGAGUAACACGUUGAAACCUGCCCCGAAGUGGGGAAUAACUGCUCGAAAGAGUAGCUAAUACCCCAUAGUAUCCGGUUUAUCCGGAUUAAAGAUUUAUCGCUUCGGGAGGGGCCUGCGUCUGAUUAGCUUGUUGGUGAGGUAAAAAGCUCACCAAGGCGACGAUCAGUAGCUGGUUCGAGAGGAUGACCAGCCACACUGGGACUGAGAUACGGCCCAGACUCCUACGGGAGGCAGCAGUGAGGAAUCUUCCACAAUGGACGAAAGUCUGAUGGAGCAAUACCGCGUGCAGGAAGACGCUUUUCGGAGUGUAAACUGCUUUUGUCGUCGAAGAUUAUGACUGUAGACGAAGAAUAAGGACCGGCUAACUACGUG